CCAAUAGCGUAUAUUAAAGUUGUUGCAGUUAAAAAGCUCGUAGUUGAAUUUCGGGAUCAAUACGUCGGUCGUGCCUCCGGUACGUACUGUCGUCGUUGAUUUCUCCCUUCUGAUGAAACGCGAUGUCAUUAAUUUGGUGUUGCGGGGAGUCAGGACUGUUACUUUGAAAAAAUUAGAGUGUUUAAAGCAGGCAAACGCUUGAAUUCAUUAGCAUGGAAUAAUGAAAUAGGACGUUCGAACCUAUUUUGUUGGUUUCUAGGAUCAACGUAAUGAUUAAUAGGGAUAGUUGGGGGCAUUAGUAUUCAAUUGUCAGAGGUGAAAUUCUUGGAUUUAUUGAAGACUAACUACUGCGAAAGCAUUUGCCAAGGAUGUUUUCAUUAAUCAAGAACGAAAGUUAGGGGAUCGAAGACGAUCAGAUACCGUCGUAGUCUUAACCAUAAACUAUGCCGACUAGGGAUCGGAUGAAGUUAAUUUUUUAAUGACUCAUUCGGCGCCUUACG
rnacentral:rRNA from 1 species